GUGAACGCUGGCGGCAGGCCUAACACAUGCAAGUCGAGCGGCAACGCGGGGGGCAACCCUGGCGGCGAGCGGCGGACGGGUGAGGAAUUCGUCGGAAUCUGCCUUUUUGUGGGGGAUAACGUAGGGAAACUUACGCUAAUACCGCAUACGACCUACGGGUGAAAGUGGGGGGACCUUCGGGCCUCACGCAGAAAGAUGAGCCGACGACCGAUUAGCUAGUUGGUAGGGUAAAGGCCUACCAAGGCGACGAUCGGUAGCUG
rnacentral:rRNA from 1 species